UACGUAGGGUGCGAGCGUUGUCCGGAAUUAUUGGGCGUAAAGAGCUCGUAGGCGGUCUGUCGCGUCGGCUGUGAAAACCCGGAGCUCAACUCCGGGCCUGCAGUCGAUACGGGCAGACUGGAGUUCGGCAGGGGAGACUGGAAUUCCUGGUGUAGCGGUGGAAUGCGCAGAUAUCAGGAGGAACACCGGUGGCGAAGGCGGGUCUCUGGGCAGUAACUGACGCUGAGGAGCGAAAGCGUGGGGAGCGAACAGG
rnacentral:rRNA from 1 species